AGCUCUGCAGACCUGCGACGGACUGUGACGCAGCAGAUGACAGAUCAGCGUGAGGUCACGAUGUUCUGCUCCGUUAAAGAGCUUAUUUCUGGAGGCCGCGCCCUCUCAUCGCCGGACCUGACAUUGAUGCCAUUUCCCACUAAGAUCCGUGAAGACCCCGGUCACAUGACACCUGAAGACACACGGAGACUCUGACCUGCGAUCGAACCCUCGUCAGUGGACGUUGGAGCUCAGAUCGUUUCUCUCAUUAAAAGGACGGACGUUGUUAUUCCGGUGUCUGAUCACUUCACCCACCUCCAUCCAUCGUGGCCCUCAGCGUCUCUGGAC